UACGAAGGGGGCUAGCGUUGCUCGGAAUCACUGGGCGUAAAGCGCACGUAGGCGGCCAACUAAGUCAGACGUGAAAUCCCCAGCUUAACCUGGGAACUGCGUCUGAUACUGGAUGGCUUGAAUUCGGGAGAGGGAUGCAGAAUUCCAGGUGUAGCGGUGAAAUGCGUAGAUAUCUGGAGGAAUACCGGUGGCGAAGGCGGCAUCCUGGAC
rnacentral:rRNA from 1 species